rnacentral:pre_miRNA from 1 species
GAUGUAAUUGCUGGAUCAUCUGUAAAGAGUAUAUUUAGUUUUGAAAGAAACUGCCAAACUGUUCUUGAAGUGGCUGUACCAUUUUGCAUUUCUACAAGCAAU